GACGAACGUUGGCGGCGUGCUUAACACAUGCAAGUCGAACGGAAAGGCCCUGCUUUUGUGGGGUGCUCGAGUGGCGAACGGGUGAGUAACACGUGAGUAACCUGCCCUUGACUUUGGGAUAACUUCAGGAAACUGGGGCUAAUACCGGAUAGGAGCUCCUGCUGCGUGGUGGGGGUUGGAAAGUUUCGGCGGUUGGGGAUGGACUCGCGGCUUAUCAGCUUGUUGGUGGGGUAGUGGCUUACCAAGGCUUUGACGGGUAGCCGGCCUGAGAGGGUGACCGGCCACAUUGGGACUGAGAUACGGCCCAGACUCCUACGGGAGGCAGCAGUGGGGAAUAUUGCACAAUGGGCGGAAGCCUGAUGCAGCAACGCCGCGUGCGGGAUGACGGCCUUCGGGUUGUAAACCGCUUUCGCCUGUGACGAAGCGUGAGUGACGGUAAUGGGUAAAGAAGCGCCGGCUAACUACGUGCCAGCAGCCGCGGUGAUACGUAGGGUGCGAGCGUUGUCCGGAUUUAUUGGGCGUAAAGGGCUCGUAGGUGGUUGAUCGCGUCGGAAGUGUAAUCUUGGGGCUUAACCCUGAGCGUGCUUUCGAUACGGGUUGACUUGAGGAAGGUAGGGGAGAAUGGAAUUCCUGGUGGAGCGGUGGAAUGCGCAGAUAUCAGGAGGAACACCAGUGGCGAAGGCGGUUCUCUGGGCCUUUCCUGACGCUGAGGAGCGAAAGCGUGGGGAGCGAACAGGCUUAGAUACCCUGGUAGUCCACGCUGUAAACGGUGGGUACUAGGUGUGGGGUCCAUUCCACGGGUUCCGUGCCGUAGCUAACGCUUUAAGUACCCCGCCUGGGGAGUACGGCCGCAAGGCUAAAACUCAAAGGAAUUGACGGGGCCCCGCACAAGCGGCGGAGCAUGCGGAUUAAUUCGAUGCAACGCGUAGAACCUUACCUGGGUUUGACAUGGAUCGGGAGUGCUCAGAGAUGGGUGUGCCUCUUUUGGGGUCGGUUCACAGGUGGUGCAUGGCUGUCGUCAGCUCGUGUCGUGAGAUGUUGGGUUAAGUCCCGCAACGAGCGCAACCCUUGUUCACUGUUGCCAGCACGUUAUGGUGGGGACUCAGUGGAGACCGCCGGGGUCAACUCGGAGGAAGGUGGGGAUGACGUCAAGUCAUCAUGCCCCUUAUGUCCAGGGCUUCACGCAUGCUACAAUGGCUGGUACAGAGAGUGGCGAGCCUGUGAGGGUGAGCGAAUCUCGGAAAGCCGGUCUCAGUUCGGAUUGGGGUCUGCAACUCGACCUCAUGAAGUCGGAGUCGCUAGUAAUCGCAGAUCAGCAACGCUGCGGUGAAUACGUUCCCGGGGC
rnacentral:rRNA from 1 species